GAUGAACGCUGGCGGCGUGCCUAAUACAUGCAAGUCGAGCGGACUGAUUAGAAGCUUGCUUCUAUGACGUUAGCGGCGGACGGGUGAGUAACACGUGGGCAACCUGCCUGUAAGACUGGGAUAACUUCGGGAAACCGAAGCUAAUACCGGAUAGGAUCAUCUCCUUCAUGGGAGAUGAUUGAAAGAUGGUUUCGGCUAUCACUUACAGAUGGGCCCGCGGUGCAUUAGCUAGUUGGUGAGGUAACGGCGCACCAAGGCAACGAUGCAUAGCCGACCUGAGAGGGUGAUCGGCCACACUGGGACUGAGCCACGGCCCAGACUCCUACGGGAGGCAGCAGUAGGGAAUCUUCCGCAAUGGACGAAAGUCUGACGGAGCAACGCCGCGUGAGUGAUGAAGGCUUUCGGGUCGUAAAACUCUGUUGUUAGGGAAGAACAAGUACAAGAGUAACUGCUUGUACCUUGACGGUACCUAACCAGAAAGCCACGGCUAACUACGUGCCAGCCGCCGCAGUAACAC
rnacentral:rRNA from 1 species